ACUGAAAUAGUUUAACGGUAGAACAUACCCUUCAUGAUGGUAAAACAAAGGUUCAAUUCCUUUUUUCAGUA
rfam:Fistulina hepatica ATCC 64428 unplaced genomic scaffold FISHEscaffold_266, whole genome shotgun sequence.